UGCCAGCAGCCGCGGUAAUACGGAGGGUCCGAGCGUUAUCCGGAAUCAUUGGGUUUAAAGGGUCCGUAGGCGGUUAGAUAAGUCAGUGGUGAAAGUUCUCGGCUCAACCAUCGAACUGCCCUUGAUACUGUCGGUCUUGAAUGACCAUGAAGUGGCUAGAAUAUGUGGUGUAGCGGUGAAAUGCAUAGAGAUCACAUAGAAUACCGAUUGCGAAGGCAGGCCACUAAUGGUGCAUUGACGCUGAGGGACGAAAGCGUGGGGAGCGAACGGGAUUAGAUA
rnacentral:rRNA from 1 species